rnacentral:misc_RNA from 1 species
GACCAGGACACUUGAAGGUCCGUAAGACAUGAGAAAAUUAUCUCUAGCGACUUGUUUGAAGUAGUCUUAUAUUUUGUGCUAUUUAUAUUUUCAUGUCAAAUCAUAAAUGAGUGUACAUAUGAUGUCCUUUGCAUAUCCACAGCCAUUCAUUUUGUGGAUGUGUCUGGUAUUAGAGGCCCAAGAUUCAUCGCUGUGGCCAAGUCUGGUUGAUUUCAUGCUGUGUAGGUUCUCACUUUCAUUUACAACGUUCAGUUUGCUUGAAAUAUAUGCCAGUUUAUGAUCAGCUUGUUGGUGAAACUCACCACCACCACAAUCACAGCUUUGAUGUGCUUUAGUGUCCUUUAACAAUUACUGGUCUUUUCUUUGUUUCGAUGAUGAAGCCUGUCCGCUGACGCAAUUAUUUUUU